GAUGAACGCUAGCGGCAGGCCUAACACAUGCAAGUCGAGGGAGAAGCCCUUCGGGGCAGAAACCGGCGCACGGGUGCGUAACGCGUAUGCAACCUACCUUUCACAGGGGGAUAGCCCGAAGAAAUUUGGAUUAAUACCCCAUAAUAUUAUUGGGUGGCAUCAUUUGAUAAUUAAAAUUACGAUGGUGAAAGAUGGGCAUGCGUCCUAUUAGCUAGUUGGAGUGGUAACGGCACCCCAAGGCUACGAUAGGUAGGGGUCCUGAGAGGGAGAUCCCCCACACUGGUACUGAGACAGGGACCAGACUCCUACGGGAGGCAGCAGUGAGGAAUAUUGGUCAAUGGUCGGGAAGACUGAACCCAGCCAUGCCCGCGUGCCAGGGAAAGAAAUGCCCUU
rnacentral:rRNA from 1 species